ACAUGACGCCAUGUCUCUCACAGCCCAUUAUAUAAGCAAAGACUGGCAACUGGAGGCGAAGUGUUUGGCCACAUCCUUCGUCCCAGAAAAUCAAACGAAAGAUGUGCUGGCAGACGCCCUCAAAGUCGGCGCUCAAGAGUGGGGCAUAGAGGAAGAGAAGAUAUCCUGCAUCACAACCGACAAUGGUGCAAACAUUAUUGCAGCCGUCCGGGAGCUCAAAUGGCCCUGGUUGAACUGCUUUGGACAUAAUUUGAAUAUGGCCAUAAACAACGCACUUGACGGAGAAAAGGAUCGCACUAGUCGUGCGUUUGGGGUCUGCCGGGCAAUCAACGGCGCCUUUUCUCAUAGUUGGCAACGGAAACGGGAGCUGAGCAAAGCCCAGGAUGAGCUACCACUCCCCAACCAUGCUUUGAUUACGGACUGUGCAACACGUUGGGGUUCGAAGCAGAAGAUGGCAGAGAGGAUACUGGAACAGGCCACAGCAAUCAAGAGGGUUUUCGCAAACGACAGAAGCCCCCGUCCCCUGCCAAACCUGACGUGGCAAGAUGAAGCUGUGCUGGAGGCAGUGAGUCUCUUCCUUGCUGCCCACGCUACAAUUAUUGAAAGACAACGUCUUGAAGGAAGACGACGAUGACGUCCGGAUGACGUCCGUCAUUAAAAGCGGGGUGCUGCUGGAACUAGAUAACAAAUACGACAAUGAAGCGUCAUUAAAAUUAAUGCGCUUAUCUGCUCUCCAUAUCGAUGCCGUUUCCCUCGACAGCACGAGAGUUUGAUUGGAGGCAGAGAUGGUGUCAUUCUGCAGGAGGCAGACCACCGGACAGGUAAGGGUCAGAGUGGAGGAUGUUGAGACGGAGCAGCCAGUGGCACCUAUUCCACCACCACCACCACCUAAGAAAAUAAAACCUUCCCUGGGUAGCCUUUUGAGAAAGGCGAAGCAACCUUUGACACUCACUGAGGAGCAACGGGCAAACGCAGAAGUAACAGCCUACCUGCAAGAAGAUGCACUGGAUGGGGACAGUGACCCACUCGCAUGGUGGAAGGCAAACGAGAACCGCUUUCCGUUAAUGGCCAAGAUUGCGAGUAAAUAUCUUUGUAUAUGCGCUACUAGUUCACUUUCUGAGCGUGUAUUUAGCACUGCAGGCAACGUUGUCACGCCACUGAUGAGCUUGUUGAAGCCAGAAAAGGUGAAUAUGCUGGUGUUCUUGUCCAGAAACCUGUAGGCUAUGCACACACUUUAAAAUGUGUAUUUAUUAUUAGGCUUUUAGGCAUACAUUUGGACUAUUUCGUUCCUCUGAAUCCAAAUUAGGUUUUCUUUCGAUUGGUUCUACAGUCUGCAAUAUUCCUAGCAAAUGUUUGCAAAAUGCCCAUUUUUAUUUUAUUUGCUCUGAAAUAAUUUAUUUUCAUUUUCUUAAUUUGCGAAAUUGACACUUAGACUUAAUUUUAAAUUGUAUUUAUUAUUAUGCUUUUAGGCCUACUUGCAUGAACAAUACAAUUGGACCAUUAUUGUUUGUCAGCUAAAGCUUGUAAACAUUGGAUUAUUCGUUCCUUUGAAUCCAAAUUUCGUUUUCUUUCGACUGCGUUCUGCAGUCUGCAAUGGGCCUAGCCAAUUUUGUGCCCAUUUCUAUUUUAUUUGCUCUGCCAGCAUUUUUUUUUCGUUUUAAAAGAGUUUUGUGAAGACUUCGCCAUCUGUUAUACUUGUGUUAUGUUCAAUACUCAGUUAUAAUUGUUCUUUAAAAGCGUUUUGUAAGUGGGCCUACAUAUAUAGCCUCCCUUGAAGCGAAUGUCUUAUUAUUCUGUUCCAAAUAAACCCGGCAACCUUUUGA